UGAAGGUAUGAGAAAAUGGGGACAUGCUGGUGGAAAUAUAAAUUGGUACAACUACUUUGGAGAGCAAUUUACAAUAUCAAAGUUUAAAGUGUGCGUAUCAUACAACCUUGGAAUUCAAUUUUUAAAUGCCUGUCUUAGACUUUCUCAUAGUAUAUAAAAGGAGAUAUGUACAGGGGUCUACAGUGCAACUUCUUGAUAACAGGAGAAAAAAAUCAGUUAACCUUAGUGUCUAUCAAUAGGGAAAUAGAUAAAUAUAUUGUGAUAUAUUUUUCAGUGAAAUAGAUGAAUCAGCCAGAUGUACAUUUAUUGUGUAUAAAUCUUGGAAGACAAAGUUGCAGAAUAUUAUUAUAUAUUAGAGUAAUACCAUACCUGUUUAAAGCACAUGAACAUUACGAUGUAGUGUGUGUUACACAGACACACACACUUAAUUAAACAUGGACUGGAAGGAGACACCCCAGAUACACAGUAGUGGUUUUCUUCGAGGAGGGGGUAAUGGAAACAGGUACAUGGGAAGCUUAAACUGUAUCUAUAAU
rnacentral:lncRNA from 10 species